CCGGGCCCCCCGCGCCGCCUCCGCCGCCGCCGCCCGCCGCCGGGUUGGCGGCCCCGCACUGGUUGUAGAGCAGAGACCCUGGUGUCCCAAGGACGUGGUGAUUUGUGCCCGGUAAUUCCUCAGAAGAAUUAGCCCGGAGGGACUGGCUGCUUCUGCUGACGCACAGGGCCUGCUUGCCCGCGAGCGCAGCGUUACCGCCUGCUAACGAAGGAGCUUCCGUCGCGCAGGAAAGGCUGCUCCACGCAGGCCUAAUCCCUCACCUGAUUAUGUGCUGCUGCCACCUCACUGUGGCCAUGGAGAUCCUGCGAGAUGUCAGUGCGCUCCCUUCCUCUGCCCUGCAAGAUAGCUCAGCAGAAAUGCAUGCUGGCCUGCAGACAACAACAGAUAUUUAUCUCUUCACCAGCCAGUGUGAGGUAUAAAGUGGCACAGAGGACAGGAGGAAUCUGUAAGGCAGAAAAUUAAUUAAGAGGUUCUGUUGUUGCCUUACUGUGAUCUCAGUAACCGAACCAUUAAAGCAAAGGUGAUUUAUUCUUCAUGGGGUAAUUACAUUCCCCCUUUCUCUGUUGUCUGCUCCCUGAACUAUGUUCCUCUUUCAGAGGUGUGUGCACAUGCAUUUGUGAGCAACUGUGUGGUCCUUGAUUCAACGUGUUCGGUACCUAUUGAGCAAGGAGACAUCGUGUCCUCCCUUUCUGUUCUCUGCGAUUUUGCAUUAUUGUUUUUGCAUUAUAAUUUCUUUAAUGCACGAUGACAUGCUAUUUAUAUUGAUUUGCGGCUUGGAGACCCUUUCAUAUCUCGGGACUAUCAUGGAUCAAUCACUAUAGCCAGCUGUUGCCAUGGCAUAUCCCAGUGAUAUUAUAGCACUGUUGUUUUUGA